UUUCGAAUCAUUCACAAUGGGCGCAAGCCUGAUGGUGCGACGCCGCGUGAGGGAUGAAGGUCUUCGGAUUGUAAACCUCUGUCACUGGGGAGAAAACGCUUUGAGUUAAUAGUUCAAAGCCUGAUUUAACCCGGAGAGGAAGCAGUGGCUAACUCUGUGCCAGCAGCCGCGGUAAUACAGAGACUGCAAGCGUUAUUCGGAUUCACUGGGCGUAAAGGGUGCGCAGGCGGCCGUGUGUGUAAGGUGUGAAAUCCCGGGGCUCAACCCCGGAACUGCGCCUUAAACUACAUGGCUAGAGUAUUGGAGAGGGUAGUGGAAUUCACGGUGUAGCAGUGAAAUGCGUAGAUAUCGUGAGGAACACCAGAGGCGAAGGCGACUACCUGGACAAUUACUGACGCUCAGGCACGAAAGCGUGGGGAGCAAAAGGG
rnacentral:rRNA from 1 species